ACUACGGUGGGCAGCAGUCGGGAAUAUUGCGCAAUGGAGGAAACUCUGACGCAGUGACGCCGCGUGCAGGAAGACGGUUUUCGGAUUGUAAACUGCUUUAGACAGGGAAGAAAAAAGACAGUACCUGUAGAAUAAGCUCCUGCUAACUACGUGCCAGCAGCCGCGGUAAUACGUAGGGAGCAAGCGUUAUCCGGAUUUAUUGGGUGUAAAGGGUGCGUAGACGGGGAAGUAAGUUAGUUGGGAAAUCCCUCGGCUUAACCGAGGAACUGCAACUAAAACUGGUUCCCUUGAGUACUGGAGAGGAAAGUGGAAUUCCUGGUGUAGCGGUGAAAUGCGUAGAUAUUAGGAGGAACACCAGUGGCGAAGGCAGCUUUCUGGACAGUAACUGACGUUGAGGCACGAAAGUGUGGGGAGCAAACAGGAUUAGAUACCCCAGUAGUC
rnacentral:rRNA from 1 species